GAUGAACGCUAGCGACAGGCCUAACACAUGCAAGUCGAGGGGCAUCGGGACGUAGCAAUACGUUGCCGGCGACCGGCGGAUGGGUGAGUAACGCGUAUGCAACCUACCCGUAGCAGGGGGAUAGCCCGUUGAAAGACGGAUUAAUACCCCGUAACACAGGGGCUCCGCAUGGAGAUUAUUGUUAAAGGGUCAUUUCUUUUAGAGGUGGUCCGGCUGCGGAUGGGCAUGCGUUCCAUUAGGUAGUUGGUGUAGGUAACGGCUCACCAAGCCGACGAUGGAUAGGGGAACUGAGAGGUUCGGUCCCCCACACUGGUACUGAGACACGGACCAGACUCCUACGGGAGGCAGCAGUGAGGAAUCUUGGUCAAUGGGACGCAAGUCUGAACCAGCCAUGUCGCGUGAAGGAGGACGGCCCUAAGGGUUGUAAACUUCUUUUGCAGUGGAAUAAAGUUUGCCACGUGUUGGCGAUUUGCAAGUACGCUGCGAAUAAGGAUCGGCUAACUCCGUGCCAGCACG
rnacentral:rRNA from 1 species